UACGUCAGGGUGCAAGCGUUUGUCCGGAAUUAUUGGGCGUAAAGAGCUCGUAGGCGGUUCGUCGCGUCGGCUGUGAAAACCCGGAGCUCAACUCCGGGCCUGCAGUCGAUACGGGCGGACUUGAGUGUUGCAGGGGAGACUGGAAUUCCUGGUGUAGCGGUGGAAUGCGUAGAGAUCCGGAGGAAGACCGGUGGCGAAGGCGGUCUGCUGGGCAGUUUCUGACACUGAUGCGCGACAGCGUGGGGAGCAAACAGG
rnacentral:rRNA from 1 species